AUUUAUACAGAAAUGAUCAUACUGUGCACAGUGUGCAUACCGAGUACUACAAAAACAGUAAGUGGUAUGCUGUUCUCAACACACUAGAAGAAUUGAUUAUUUAGGAGGAAUUUGGUAUGUCCUCCACACAUUUACAGCCUCUAGAGGGCAGCAAAACUCUCGUACACAUUUCAUUUAGGUUUGACACUUGGUGGCCCAAAUCUAAUCAUUUGUCUGUAAGGAUAGUCGGAUAGAUGUGUACUUGCAUGUUAUUUAUUUGAACACUGUACGCCAUUUAUAAAUAUUGGACACAGCAUGGUAUACAUCUGGCCCACACUCACACACACACACACACACACACACACACAUAUAUGCUAGUCAACAUUUGAAAUGGCUCAAAACCUUUUAUCAAAGUUGUCCUAAAUCCUAAAAGCGUUUGAACUUUGAUUAACUUUUUUUAUCCACUUAAAAUGUUGACUACUGUGUGUAUGUAUAUACAUUAAUAUAAGUUUUAUUAUAUAAGUAUAAUAUAGGUUUAGUUUUAUUAGAAUAAUUUUAAUAAGUAAAACUUUAUAUUUAGCCUAUAUACUGUGUGUGUGUGUGUGUGUGUGUGUGUGUGUCUUAUAUAUAAUUUUGUUUUAUUUUAAAGGCUGAUAUAAAUACAAAAAGAACAAGCUCAUUAAAUUUGGCAUAGACAUUUGCUUAUAAAAUUGCUUUAACGAUUAUGUGCUCUUAAAGCAUGCGUGCAAGCAAGACGUUUGGGCCUUUACAGCAGAGAGUUACACACGCACACAUUUCAGGAUCCAGCGUCCGGCUGUAUGUGUCCCUGAAAAGUAAAUGCGAAAUCAGCAGCACUCAAAUCACAUUUCUUGGACAUGGAAGGGGGCGAUUCCUGACUGUGCAGCUUAACUGAACCUUUUACGACGGCUCCAAGAAAUCCACACACUAUUCGCUCGCCUUGCUCCAUGGUGACACCCACAUCUCUGGCAGCUUAGCGAUUUACAUUUUAGCAUAAUGCCAGCCAUAGAGGAGGCACAAGGCAAGGGCGAUAAGUUACAAAGUGCUCCGGGGGUAAACCUUGUAAGAGAGGUUUUGGAGCUAUUUACAGUGCUUCAGAAAUCCUUCAAAGAUGCGCCAAUUGGGGAGGAGAUUGUUCGCAGCAGUGCAUGCUUCGCGCACAAAACGCAACACAAUGCGCGAGGAGCGCGACGUGACCAGAUGGCACUAAUUCGAAUAUCCUCAUUUUAUCGCAUGCUUUUGAGGGGAAAAAAUGUGGUCGGGGGAGAGAGAGUAUUCAAACGUGGAGCGGCCCAGACAAUAAGAAGAAGCGGGCGUGCUCUGAAUAGCCCAAUCUCUGCGCAGGCCAAUCCGCUGGCGUCCCUCGGCCGGUAAACAGGGGCGGACCUCCCGCCGAAACAGAGAAAGAGCUCAGAAGAGUCGGUGUUUUCCUGCAGAAAGUUUGCGUAACUCUCACUUUGCUUCAUGUAGCAUUGCUCAGACGAUGCACGGUGCGUAUUGAGUUUUGAGUAUUGAGGUGACUGUUGACACACAGUAGAAAGAAA
ensembl:lncRNA